rnacentral:rRNA from 1 species
AGUCGACGGUAACAGGACUUCGGUCGCUGACGAGUGGCGCACGGGUGAGUAACGCGUGGGUUACCUGCCCAUAAGUGGGGAACAACUUGGAGAAAUCCAAGCUAAUACCGCAUAAUACCUUCGGGUUAAAGAGGGGGAUCUUCGGACCUCUCGCUUAUGGAUGGUCCCGCGUCUGAUUAGCUAGUUGGUAGGGUAAUGGCCUACCAAGGCAAUGAUCAGUAGCUGGUCUGAGAGGAUGAUCAGUCACACUGGAACUGAGACACGGUCCAGACUCCUACGGGAGGCAGCAGUGGGGAAUUUUGCACAAUGGGCGAAAGCCUGAUGCAGCGACGCCGCGUGCGGGAAGAAGGCCUUCGGGUUGUAAACCGCUUUCAACAGGGAAGAAGGAAUGAGAGCUAAUACCUCUCUGCCUUGACGGUACCUGUAGAAGAAGCACCGGCUAAUUUCGUGCCAGCAGCCGCGGUAAUACGAAAGGUGCAAGCGUUGUUCGGAUUUACUGGGCGUAAAGAGAUCGUAGGUGGCUUGUUAAGCCGGAUGUGAAAUCCCGGGGCUCAACCCCGGAACUGCAUCCGAUACUGGCAGGCUUGAGUUUGGGAGGGGUAAGCGGAAUUCCGUGUGUAGCAGUGAAAUGCGUAGAUAUACGGAGGAACACCUGAGGCGAAGGCGGCUUACUGGACCAAUACUGACACUGAGGAUCGAAAGCGUGGGUAGCAAACAGGAUUAGAUACCCUGGUAGUCCACGCCCUAAACGAUGUCAACUAGCCGUUGCGGGUAUCGACCCCUGCAGUGGCGCAGCUAACGCGAUAAGUUGACCGCCUGGGGAGUACUGUCGCAGAUUAAAACUCAAAGGAGUUGACGGGGGCC